rnacentral:rRNA from 1 species
UUCCGGUUGAUCCUGCCGGAGGCCACUGCUAUUGGGAUCCGACUAAGCCAUGCGAGUCGAGAGGGUUCGGCCCUCGGCAGACUGCUCAGUAACACGUGGAUAACCUAACCUUAGGUGGAAGAUAACCUCGGGAAACUGAGAAUAAUAUUCCAUAGAUCUAGGAUGCUGGAAUGCAUCUAGAUUGAAAGUUCCGACGCCUAAGGAUGGGUCUGCGGACUAUCAGGUUGUAGUCAGGGUAAAGACCUGACUAGCCUACGACGGAUAUGGGUUGUGAGAGCAAUAGCCCAGAGACGAUAUCUGAGACACGAUAUCGGGCCCUACGGGGCGCAGCAGGCGCGAAAUCUUCACAGUGUGCGAAAGCACGAUGAGGGGAUCCCAAGUGCUGGCACGUAAGUGUCAGCUGUUUCUUAGUCUAAAAAACUGAGAGAGUAAGGGCUGGGUAAGACGGGUGCCAGCCGCCGCGGUAAUACCUGCAGCUCAAGUGGUGGCCGCUAUUAUUGGGCCUAAAACGUCCGUAGCCUGUUUAGUAAAUGCUUGGGUAAAUUGUGUAGCUUAACUAUACGAAUACCGGGUAGACUGCUAAACUUGGGACCGGGAGAGGCUAGAGGUACUCCUGGGGUAGAGGUGAAAUUCUGUAAUCCUAGGGGGACCACCAGUGGCGAAGGCGUCUAGCUAGAACGGGUCUGACGGUGAGGGACGAAGCCCUGGGGCGCAAACCGGAUUAGAUACCCGGGUAGUCCAGGGUGUAAACGCUGCUUGCUUGAUGUUAGUUGGGCUCCGAGCCCAACUAGUGUCGGAGAGAAGUUGUUAAGCAAGCUGCCUGGGAAGUACGGUCGCAAGACUGAAACUUAAAGGAAUUGGCGGGGGAGCACAGCAACGGGUGGAGCGUGCGGUUUAAUUGGAUUCAACGCCGGA